UCAGUCGACUCCUACGGGGAGGCAGCAGUGGGGGAAUAUUGCACAAUGGGCGCAAGCCUGAUGCAGCCAUGCCGCGUGUGUGAAGAAGGCCUUCGGGUUGUAAAGCACUUUCAGCCGUGAGGAAGGCAUUGUACCUAAUACGUGCAGUGUUUGACGUUAGCGGCAGAAGAAGCACCGGCUAACUCCGUGCCAGCAGCCGCGGUAAUACGGAGGGUGCGAGCGUUAAUCGGAAUUACUGGGCGUAAAGCGCAUGCAGGCGGUCUGUUAAGCAAGAUGUGAAAGACCCGGGCUUAACCUACGGGAACCGGCAUUUUGUAACUGGCAGGCUAGAGUCUUGUAGAGGGGGGUAGGAAUUUCAGGUGUAGCGGUGAAAAUGCGUAGAGAUCUGAAGGAAUACCGGUGGCGAAGGCGGCCCCCUGGACAAAGACUGACGCUCAGAUGCGAAAGCGUGGGGAGCAAACAGGAUUAGAUACCCUGGUAG
rnacentral:rRNA from 1 species